CCUCAUUCAAGCCCUCUCUCUUUCCCCCUCUGUAACAGCAAAGCACUUCUCCACGUCUAACCGUCGUUGGUGCGCCCUCUCUGUAACCCAGCGAAGCACUUCUCCACUUCUGCCAUUCAUUUAUUGUUGUUCUAGUAAUAUGGACCAUGUGGAAGCAAGUGGCAGUACGUGUGGUGCCUACAGGCUUUUUGUUGGAUUUCACUAGUUAGCUAACUAGCUUGUGCCAAGGUGUGUGAGUUUUCUGGCAGCUGGAGGGUCGUGAAAGCAAGGAGGUUAUGGGAUUAUGUGACAAUGGACGGGCUUACAUGUUACAUGCUUACGGAAGGCUAGGAAAAUAACAUCAUAUUAAAGUCAUUAUGACUUGUUUCCUCACUAUUAAUUCCUUGGAGCUCCCCUACUGCAUUAUGACUGUUAUUUCAACCACAAUUUACCU